GCAGAUUGUGCCCAUGACAGAGAAAUCCUGACUCCACUGGAGGGAGAGACAGAAGUGGGACUGUUUGCUCCCAGCAAGGGGAGGCUGUGUGGAGUCUUUGGCUGAGUCUUGGCAGUGGAGCCAUGGAAUUGGUGUAGAGUCACUGCUGCAGGACCAGUUGUACAGGCUCCAGCAGUCAAAGAGCACUCACCUGCAUUGCUGCCUUUGGAGGGGUGGCAGUGCUUCCACAUGGGGCUGUGGCAUGGCAGAGAGGACAGAAGUGCCAAACUGUAGGGUGUGUGGAUGGAGAACCCUGCACCCUCCAGGCCAGCAUCAUCCCUCCAAAAGAGAAGAGGCCUUUUGGGCUUAAAACAUUGAUGAAUGUGACUCUGAGCAACUUGAUGGAGUUGAAGAUGUCCCUGCUCAUUGGGGACUUACACUAGAUGAUCUUUAAAGGUCAUUUCCAACCCAAACCGUUCUUUGAAUCUCGGAUUCUCUGACUGUAAGUUCUCCUGAGUCUCACAGGCUUUGUAUGUAAAUA